rfam:Hanseniaspora opuntiae strain AWRI3578 Hanseniaspora_opuntiae_AWRI3578_scaffold2, whole genome shotgun sequence.
GGGGCUAUGAUGUAAUGGCAGCAUUUUAGACUACGGAUCUAAGCAUCAGGGUUCGAAUCCCUGUAGCCUCG